ensembl:lncRNA
GCCGGCCCCCGGCGGCGGUCGCCGCGGGGUCGAGGUGGGCGCGCGGCUGGGCCUGGGAGGCGCGGCCUGGCACAGCGCCACCGCGCGCCGGGGACCCGGCGGGGACUGCGAGUGACGGCACAGCCUCCGGCCUGGCGCGGAGCUCCAUUCGGUCCCUGCCAGCAGCCGGCUGUGCUGUCGGCCCCGGGGCGCGCUCCAGAAGCAGAAAGUUCCAGGGCCACCCAGAUGCUCCCGGGGCUCCUCGGACUUGGUCUCUCCGCUGUCCCGAGGGCCCCGGAGACCCCUUCCAGUCCUCAGCCCCUCGGUGUGCCGAGCCUGGUCCGCGCACCCCUGGGCCCGCGCUGUCAGGUCCUCGAACCGUGCUUGACGUUGCCCUUGACCCAUGGCAGAGCUAGAGCCACGAAGGAUUCGGUUUUGGCGACAUCUCAGAGAUCGUCCAAUGCUUUCAAAAGGGCAGCUGGGCAACCCACAGCGGUUACGCGACUUGCUCGGCGUCCUGGAAGUUCAAGAUGGGGAAACUGAGGCUUGGAAAGCUUAACAUCAUCUGUCCAAAGGCCACCCAAGUUGAAGCCGCUCUUGGGGAAUUCAGACCAUUUCUGCUGUUCAGGGCCACGUGAGGGUCCCCAGAUUCCUCAACAGUGAUGCUGCCUUCACACCUUCUUUUGUACUUUUCCCACCACUUCUGGAAACGCACUUAAAUAAGCUGGAGCUGCACCGAGACUUUAUCAGAAGAAAGAGGAGCAGCUCGUGGAGCAUAAGGGAUCACAGGCGAGAUUGGAACGGGACGCUGUAAAGCCUGGAACUGGACUCGGUAAGGACUGGAACUGGAUGCUGUAAAGGCUUGAACUGGACGCUAUAAAGCCUGGAACUGGACUCUCUAAAGCUAUCAGCAACCGAAGCAUCUACUCGUUCUGUCUCUUACUGCGAGAUGUAGAGUUUCUGCUGAUUAUCGUGAGUCUGCUCCCUCUUCUCUCACUUUCUGUAGCUCUGCUUAGUUCACUUUAUCCACAUGGCAGAAGUGUCCACCUCAUCUAUAAGGCCUACCAGACCAAGAACUCAAGGAAAGCUUGAUCGGCCUGAGUUCUAAUUUCAUAUUCACAGAAAAGAGUAUGUGCAAAACUUUCGUCAGGCAUCCACAUCUGGUCCAGUUAGCUGUGGUCAUGCAGGCGGGGCACAUGGCCUGUUGGCCGCUCAGCAAGGCUGACUCUCAGAGACACAGCUGCAGGCAGGCAAGGUUGGAAAGGCCUCCGCUACUCCUAGUUUUCUAGGAAAUAUUGUGUUUCAGGAUUAAUCAAGGGGAAUUCCUUGGGCUUGGAAUUUGAUGGCCUAUUAAAUACCACAAAAUUCUUACUUGAUUUUCUGAUUAUGUUUUUAUCUUGAUGGCCAUCUUUUUAUAAAUUUUCUUAAAAUAUGUUUGUAAUUGAACCCGAUCCUUCUACUCUGUUUUGAAGAAAGCAGAGUAUAGUCUUUAUUCUUAUCAUAGAUAUUGUCUCCAGGAACUUUCCCAUAUUUCUGGGUAUAGACAAUAUAAGUUGAUAUCCUUGUGGGUAAUGUGGACCUUUUAUUCAUGGGCAACUUUUGCAAAGAGGCUCCAAAGGUGAGAAAUGCAAGUGGAAGGGAAAAUUCAGCUGAAAGAAUGGAGGAUGGAGAAUUCAUGAGGACCAAAGUCAGAAGGAUACGAAGAAUGUAAAAUCUGCAAGUGUAUUUAGCCAAGCCACAUGGAGGGAAUUGUUUUAACCACUGAACUUUGAUCAGAUUCCCCAAAACAGGCAUUUCUCCUCACUUUCUUUCUUUCCUUCUCUUUAUGUCCCUCUCUCCUCUGAUUUUCUUGAAGUGUUAAGAGAAUGUUGCUAGUUCCUUUCUUAACUUCUUUAUGGAGCUAAUUACAAAAACAGAAAUAAGAGGAAAGUACACUUUGACCAUUUGUUAAAAAAAAAAAUUAUGGUUUAUACAAAUAGCUGGAGUUUUCCAGAUAUGGAAUAGACCUUUCCAGUGCCUUGGUGAAUCCAUUUGCAGAAAGAUUCGAGGAAAGCUCUAAAUACAGUCAGUGCUAGUUCUUGCAGGAGGUGUGGGAGUUUGUUUCUCUACAUCUCCAACAAGGGUGGGUGCCUUCGGGAAGUUGCCUCAAUAAUGAGAUUUGAGCACACUUUCUGAUGGACUUUAUUCCCCCGAUAGGGCAUGAGUUUGAUAGACGUCUUCUCUAUCACAUGUUGUUUCCCUUCCAAGAAAGCAUGAGUUAUCUGGACUUUUUUCCCCUAAAUUACAUGGAAAGAUAGAAAAGAGGGAGGGAGGAAGCAGAGAGGGAAAAGAGAGUAUUUUAAAAGCUAAAACCAACAUCAAACCUUACUAAGGCAGAGGUUGAUUGUUAAAUAAAAUAACGCCAUUAAUGGGUAGUCAGAGUGGUUCUAAACAGAGCAACACGUGUGAAUUUUGCACGUCUCUAAACCACAUUUAAUAGUGCUUGUAGACAAAAAAUACAAUCACAAGUCAAGUCUAUGCUAAAGAAAGCAUUAAAGAUCAUUAGGAUACAUUUAAUAUUAAAAGACUUUGCUUCUGUCUUAAAAAUGUUCUGUGACUUUGUCUUUUCUACAAUUCUGUUGGAACGUUUCUCCACUCACUCUGGUCAUUCCAAUUGCAUGAACCUAUUCUCUAUUUCCUAUACAAAGCUGCUGUCCUUUUGACAAUUUCAUUGUUGUAUAAAAUGAUAACACAAAAGUAGGUUUUUUCCCAUAAUUUCAGCGUUGCCAAUUAUCUGGAUCAUCCAAACAGUGCCGACACAUUUUGUUCCGACUCUAAUUUGACAGAGGACAUAGCCAAAGGGAAAGAUUUAUCUCAUUCUACGCUCAAACCUUUCCCUGUUUUGCGUGAACAGCUGAUUAUAGAGAUCAGGAAUUUCAUUCUAUUGACUAAUAACCAAACAGAAUUCCCUGUGCUAAGUGCUGUGGCUGCAUCUUGCCUAAAGACCUGGGGGAAAAGUCUGUCCUCCUUGUAACAUUUUCUGAUAAGCACCCCAGCUGGACGGCAUCUGUGAAGGGUUCUCUAAGGCAUAUUUCCACUAGUCAGAUGCUAUGCAUCUUGUUUAUGGGAAAAUAAAACUUGAUUCCCAUUUUUGGAGUCAACUAAAUGGAUUCUUACUAAGUCUCCAUUUGGGAGAAGGAGGCCAUCCAUUAAAAUAUCUAUAUCUGGAAUCUCGUAUUCAAAGAAUAUUUAAUUAUUUGGAAAUAGUCAUAAUAUAAAUGUUUGGUUAAAAAGUAUCAGUAUGCUAAGCUGUAGCCGUAGUUUAAUCUCAAAAACAUCUCUUACUGGAUCCUGAAAAUGCUUUAUUUGGAAGCAAAGGUGUUUAUUUCAUAAUUCCUCCUAUGCCUUAAAUGUAAAUCUCAGAGAAAUAGAGCUUAUCAGCUGAUCACACUGGAUGCUGGCAGAUGGUGUCCUUUCCUGAGCACACAUUGUGAUAACAGGAUGACAGUAUGAAGUCUGAGUGUCUGGAGGUGGGAGGGAAAAGACAGAGGGAGGGGAAUUGUC